GACGAACGCUGGCGGCGUGCUUAACACAUGCAAGUCGAACGGUGAACCACUUCGGUGGGGGAUCAGUGGCGAACGGGUGAGUAACACGCGGGCAACCUGCCCUUAGCUCUGGGAUAACCCCGGGAAACCGGGGCUAAUACCGGAUACGACCUCGAGCGGCAUCACUCGAGGUGGAAAGAACUUCGGCUAAGGAUGGGCCCGCGGCCUAUCAGCUUGUUGGUGGGGUAAUGGCCUACCAAGGCGACGACGGGUAGCCGGCCUGAGAGGGCGACCGGCCACACUGGGACUGAGACACGGCCCAGACUCCUACGGGAGGCAGCAGUGGGGAAUAUUGCGCAAUGGGCGAAAGCCUGACGCAGCGACGCCGCGUGAGGGACGAAGGCCUUCGGUCGUAACC
rnacentral:rRNA from 1 species